ACGGAGAUGGGGGGGCUUCCCUAAAAAUUGCAAGUCGGAGCGGACAGAUGGGAGCUUGCUCCCCUGAUGUUAGCGGCGGACGGGUGAGUAACACGUGGGUAACCUGCCUGUAAGACUGGGAUAACUCCGGGAAACCGGGGCUAAUACCGGAUGGUUGUUUGAACCGCAUGGUUCAGACAUAAAAGGUGGCUUCGGCUACCACUUACAGAUGGACCCGCGGCGCAUUAGCUAGUUGGUGAGGUAACGGCUCACCAAGGCAACGAUGCGUAGCCGACCUGAGAGGGUGAUCGGCCACACUGGGACUGAGACACGGCCCAUACUCCUACGGGAGGCACCGUAGGGAAUCUUCCGCAUUGGACGAAAGUCUGACGGAGCAACGCCGCGGGAGUGAUGAAGGUUUUCGGAUCGUAAAGCUCUGUUGUUAGGGAAAAACAAGUGCCGUUCAAAUAGGGCGGCACCUUGACGGUACCUAACCAGAAAGCCACGGCUAAUUACGUGCCGCAGCCGCGGUAAUACGUAGGUGGCAAUCGUUGUCCAGAAAUUAUUGGGCGUAAAAGGGCUCGCAGGCGGUUUCUUAAUUCUGAUGUGAAAAGCCCCCGGCUCAACCGGGGAGGGUCAUUGGAAACUGGGGGAACUUGAGUGCAAAAAGGAGAGUGGAAUUCCACGUGUAUCGGUGAAAUGCGUAAAAUGUGGAGGAACACCAGUGGCAAAGGCGAUUCUCUGGUCUGUAACUGACGCUCAGGAGCGAAAUCGUGGGGAACGAACCGGAUUAGAUACCCUGGGUAUCCCCCCCUAAACGAUGAUUGCCCAGUGUUAGGGGGUUUCCCCCCCCUUAUGCUGCCA
rnacentral:rRNA from 2 species